rnacentral:tRNA from 1 species
GGCCUCGUAGUUUAAUGGAUAGAACGAGAGAUUCCGGUUCUCUAGGUGGGGGUUCGAUUCCCUUCGAGGUCACUA